UGAGACGCUAGCUGAACCAUUAGAACUAACCGAGUCGGGAAUCCUCCCGAGACAACCGGUGAAUGCCCAGCUGUUCAGUAGAUCAGAGGAGAAAAACGGCACGCGACAAAUCCGUCCUUUUAAAUGUUUGCUGUGUGGCGCUGCUUUCAAGAAAUCUGCUCAUCUCAAAUUCUCAACCAACACAUACAAACUCAUUCGGGAUUGAAACCUUCCACUUGCAACAUCUGCCUCCGGAAUUUUGUUUCCAAGUGGGUUCUCAAAGCUCCCCAUCUAACGCACGAAAGAACGUCUGCCCCCAACUUUCAAUUCUCGGAAUGCAACCAAUAGCUGUUUUACUACGCGGGGUACACGGAAUCAACAUAAAGCAAGCCAUAGUGAUUCCCGGCCUUUUAUAUGUCCUUACUGCCAAAAGUCCUUCAAGACUUAUUCGGUAUGUAAAAAGCACGUAGGGACCCACACAAACGAAGUCAACCAUAUGCAACAAGCGCAGCCCUCUUCAGAACUUCCUGAAGUUUCCAUUGACGCGGAGGCGCUCGAAAAUUCAACAACAUUGCCACCAAUGUCUGAAACCCAAACCGAAUCACACUGGGAUUUGUUGAAUUACGAGCCAAGCAACAUGCCAGCUGAUAGCAGCACAACUC